UAUCUUCUUUGUAAUCAUUUUUCUGAAUUAUAAUUUCUGGUUCAAUCUAACAAUACACAUCUUUCUUUUCACAGAUCGGUGAUAGAUCUUCGGCUUAUGAAGAUAAAGGAAGAGUUAAAAGGGGAAGAUCAUAGAGAGUUCAGCUUAAUUCCAAAGGCCUUUGGUCUGCUGGAACUGGAAGCGAAGUGCUUGGGAGAGUUCGAGUGGAGAUGACUUCAGCUGAUCUCCUAAAGCAGAUUCUGCAACUCAGGGAAGCUUGUGAUGUUCUUUUCAGAACCUGAUUACAACAAUGAAACGAAUGCUCUGGUUAACAAAGAUUGUGAGCUUGGUCGAGGCGGUCAAAAAGUUCAUGUUCGAGUUUGGUCUCAUCGCCCAAUGUGUCGACAAAGAUAGUGAACUCGCAGAUGUUGAAGCGGUUAGUGCUGGAAACAACUACGAACUAGGCAAUAUGAUUGCCGAAGCAAUGGCCAAAGUUGGUUGUAAAGGUGUUGUCACUCUCUAGGAAGGAAAAAGCUUCGUGAUACUAUUACAGUUGCUGCUUAGACUCCUGGAUUUGGAGAGAGGAAGAGUCAGUACCUUGACGACAUUGCUGCUCUUGUGGGAGACCAAGAUAAACCAAGGUAUGCAGCAGGAGAGAAUGACUUUAAUUUGGUUCAUUCGAAUUAGCUAGAAUGCUGCGACACAUGAUGUGCAUAUUUUUCAAACAAUGUAGCGAUAUUAAUGGCAUCUCCAAAGUCACGGAGAGAAUCGGAUAACAAUGUCAACCAAUGACAACAAUCCCUGUAUAGUGGAUCAUCAAGAGUUUUCCUGCCGAUUAAUGUGAGAACCAUGCGUCCAUUAGAUACCAUUUCUUCAGAACGCAUUCUUAGAAAUGCCGUAAAAUCUUUCUGGAACUGAUUCAGGUAAGCCUUGUGUUCACUUGGAAGACUUGAACCUGUUAUGUACACACUCAUCUUGUUCUUCUCAAGUCUGUCGGGAACCUUACAAGCCAACAAAUUCAUUGUCAUAAGCUUUGUACCUAGGAAGCAGUUACUAUAUUAUUAUUAGUGGUAGUAAGUGCUUAUGAUACCUUAGAGAGGUAAUGAAGACUGUAGUUUGAAUGAACGAAAUGGAGACUCUUGCGAGGAAAGAGCCUUGAGUAAAAGGAACCAGGUACUCCAGAGACAAAGCAUGGUAUUUUGCUUGUGAGCUUAUCGUUGAAGAAGGUUAGGAACUUGAAUGUCAUGUUGAAAUCAUUACCAGAGAGAUCGUUCAGACAACAAUCUAUCUCUGGAGGGUUUUUGUUGCUUUCUUCACAUAACGCAAUGAUUGUGUUAACGAUAUCAGACAUGGCCGUGAACGUGUUUUGUCCUGAAGAACAGCCCAAAUCUGCUAGUUUAAUGCAUUUAGGAAAGUCCAAGUUUGUCAUCAUUUCUUUAGUGUUUUUAACCAGGAUGGGCUUGGUCAUUGAUAAAACUCUUCUCUGCAGAAAACAAGGAAAGACUUAAAUUA